GAUGAACGCUGGCGGCGUGCCUAAUACAUGCAAGUCGAGCGAACGGACGAGAAGCUUGCUUCUCUGAUGUUAGCGGCGGACGGGUGAGUAACACGUGGAUAACCUACCUAUAAGACUGGGAUAACUUCGGGAAACCGUAGCUAAUACCGGAUAAUAUUUUGAACCGCAUGGUUCAAAAGUGAAAGACGGUCUUGCUGUCACUUAUAGAUGGAUCCGCGCUGCAUUAGCUAGUUGGUAAGGUAACGGCUUACCAAGGCAACGAUGCAUAGCCGACCUGAGAGGUGGAUCGGCAACACGGAACCUGAGACACGGUCCAAACUCUGAGGGGAGGCAGCGUGAGGAAAUCUGCCGCAAGGGGGGAAAGCCUGACGAGGCAACGCCGGGGGAGUGAGGAAGGUCUUCGGAUCGUAAAACUCUGUUAUUAGGAAAGAACAUAUGUGUAAGUAACUGUGCUCAUCUUGACGGUACCUAAGCAGAAGGCCACGGCUAACUACGU
rnacentral:rRNA from 1 species